rnacentral:rRNA from 1 species
UACAGAGGUUGCAAACGUUGUUCGGAAUUACUGGGCAUAAAGCGCACGUAGGCGGUCCACUAAGUCAGGUGUGAAAUCCCCCGGCUCAACCGGGGAAUUGCGCCUGAUACGGGCGGGCUCGAGAUCGGUAGGGGUGCGCGGAACUCCAGGUGGAGCGGUGAAAUGCGUAGAGAUCUGGAGGAACACCGGUGGCGAAAGCGGCUCACUGGAUCGACACUGACGCUGAGGUGCGAAAGCGUGGGUAGCAAACAGG